CAGUGGCUUGAAACCAAUAAAUAGAACAUUAAUGAAGAAUAUGAGAUGAAGCAAGUUCCAGCACCAUCACAGGCAACCAAAAUCCUCGUGUAGGAGUUUGAUAGGUGGCAGAUUCUGAAAGCUGAGAUAAUGUUUGUGCUCGAAGUAUAUCCCAAACGACUGCAGAAAAGUAAAAUUUAUUUAAGGAAAGCCUAAAAUACUACAAAUUUUAGCAGUUUUGAGAUAAUUUGCCUAUAGAAUCUCUAUUUAAACCAACACAAAUGCCCAACAACGAUACACUGGAUUAAGAAAACAUGGCACAUAUACACCAUGGAAUACUAUGCAGCCAUAAAAAAUGAAGAGUUCACGUCCUUUGUAGGGACAUGGAUGAAACUGGGAACCAUCAUUUUCAGCAAACUAUCGCAAGGACAAAAACCCAAACACUGCAUGUUCUCACUCAUAAGUGGGAAUUGAACAAUGAGAACACAUGGACACAGGAAGGGGAACAUCACACUCUGGGGACUGUUGUGGGAGGGGGGAGGGGGGAGGGAUAGCAUUAGGAGAUAUACCUAAUGCUAAAUGACGAGUUAAUGGGUGCAGCACACCAACAUGGCCGAUGUAUACAUAUGUAACAAACCUGCACAUUGUGCACAUGCACCCUAAAACUUAAAGUAUAAUAAUAAUUACA
rnacentral:lncRNA from 10 species